GUAGUCAGUAAUUUAAAACAGAGACAACAACAACGACGACGAAAUACCUACCAAAUAAAGUGAACCUGGGCUUUUCCUUUUCUAAAAUAAGAGGAUGUUUACAGUUCAAACAGUUCACAGUAAUGAUGAGGAAGGUCAUCCCAUAAAUGUUCAGUUUGCAAAUGAGACCCCAUCUGUACAGGAAAUGACCUCACAUGACCUUGGAAAUCAUGGCGACCUUGGACAAGAUGAAGGGCAUACUCUGGAACAUAUUGAAGGUCAGUGCCAACAGUCCCUCGGUCAGACAGAUGUCACAUCAGUGCAGGGGAGCUAUGUGUCUCUUCUUGCUGAUAUAGCAACCAUAGAACAGAAUGAUGAAUAUUCAGGCCAGCAGAUUGCCCAGGAUAUUUCAGAUACUGUAGACUAUGCAACUUCCACUUUUACUGGACAAGAGCAUAUUCAAGAACUUGCCUCUUUGCAAAAUGAAAAUCUUGUUUCAUACCAGUCUGUUGAAAAUCACAAUAUAGGGUACAGUCUCACAAAUCCAGUGGAAAGUGGUCCGGGUAUGCCACAGUAUGUUAUAAUUCAGCCAUUUCUUGGUGAUACGGGUGUUAAUGGUUCAAGUACAUUGAUUCAUUUGCCAAACACAGCAGAGAGUCUAGACAGCAAUAGAGAGCUGGAAGAUGCUGUGGCCAAUAUUACUGAGAAAGCUAUGGCUGACACAGAUGAAACACUAGAUGGCAAAGUAAUACCUGAUCAGAGCUACCUAGUUAGUACAAAUAGCAGAGGAGAGGUCAGAGAGAUACAAGUUGUAGAAGGUGAACAAAGCUGGACUGCUAAUGAGACAGAAGUGUCUACAAAUAAAAGGAAGGGUCGGCUUAAGGGUCUUGAUAAGGGUGUGAAAGGUAAACGAAAGAAAAGUGUCAUAGCUGAAAAGAAAGAAUCAUCAUCACAUGUGAAAAAGUUUUCUCUGGAUGAUUUAAACAGUGUUGGGAAGUCUAAGAAGGAAGUAUUUGAAGAGUAUUUAGUAAAAAGUAAAGUUAGAAAUGAUAUGCAGACUGGUACAAAAGUAGACACAUUUGCUAGUGAUAUUGAAAAAUCAAGUUUUAAUGUUGAGUGUGGUAGAUCCGAUACCAAUUUGCAAGGUAUAAACACACUAACAGAGAAUUCAACAGAAAUAUUGAAUGCCGAGAUGGACAAAACAUCCGAUCUUGUGGAAAUAUUAAUUUUUAGUGACACGCAGUCUGCUUCAGAUAUUGACAAGGUAAAUGAAAUUUGUCAGUCUGAUUCUAGAGACAAAAGUUUGGAAUCACAAAUGAUGGGAAAUUUACAAAGAUCUGUGAAGGAAAAUGAAAGUGUUUCAGCUGUAGAGGAUAAAUUGGGAAGUGAAAAAGAUACAGCUAAAUUUUCAGUUGAUGCUGAGGAAAUUAAUAAAGAUUCAGUAAAAGAGAAAAAGUGUUUGAGAGUAGCUAAACAUCAGACUUCCAUAAGUAAAUCUAGAAUAUUAAGAAGCAGACAGGCACUGGACAAGAAUGUGACAACUCAAGUAAAAUUUACAGGGAAGGAGUCAGAAGAUCUAGAGACAAAUUUAUCAAAAGAAAAGGAUGUUGUUAGGUUAAAAAACAAAGGCACUACUUUAAAAAGAAAGAAACAUAUGCCUAAUUUAAAACAGUCUCACAAAUUACCAAAAAUGGAUGACUUAUGUGAAGAAAAAGAGCAAAUUGAAGAUGAACCUACAGAUGAUAAUAUUGACUGUAGAGUUCUAGAGGAUUUUUGCAGGUUUUUUAGAUCUGAAGAAAAGUGCAUCCUUCAUCUUGAACCUAUAACUUUAAAACUUGUUAAUCCAAACCAGCUAUUAAUGAUUGAAAUGGAUGUUCAGAGUGAUUUUAAUGUAAGUUCUUUAGAAACGGGUGUAACUGCAGAUGGAUUGACAAAGUAUUAUGUAAAAUUUAGUGUUCCUGAAAAAGUUGCACUAGACAAUGUUGAAGAUAUCAGUAAUCCUGCAGAUGAAAAACAAAAGGUUGAAAGAAUAUGUAACAAAACCCAGAAACAGGCAUUGAAAUGUUUAAAAAGUUCUAGGCGGAAACAAAACAAAAGACAAUAAAAGAAAAGAAUUUAGUUUCUGAGAAAGAUACAGGGAAAGCAUUAAGAUCAAAAGAAGAAAAUAGCCAAGAGAUUGAUGAAAAAUGUUGUAAUGAUUCAGAAAAUUUGGACCGUGAAAUUAAGGCAGAUGCUGUUAAUAACCAUGAUAAUAAUGAAAGCAAAGAUACACAACAAGUUGAAGAUGACCAUCGUGAAGAAAUUGAAACGGAAACACAUGAUGAUGCAGAUGAAUUGGAAACAAAUGAAGACACUGAUAUAAGUAAAAAUCAAACUAGUAAUGAAGGAAGUAAUGCUACAAAGUCUAAAAGGAAGAAGGAUGGGAAAUUAUCAGGAAAGAAGAAAUCCAAGGUUGAUAAAAGCAGUAGUAAAGACACAAAAGAAGAUUCAUCACAGAAGAAUUACACUUUAGUAGUGUCUGAAGAAGGUAUACGGAAUGUACAUGUGUCCAGUGUGUGGCUAUAUGUCUAAGUAUGUACAGAAUGCAAAGAAGCAUAUAUACGAGCACACGGCAACACGGGACUGGAUAUGUGAGAUGUGUGGAAUGAGUUUCAAGAGUAACAACAAUCUCCAGAAACACAAGAUAGUCCAUUCAGAUACACGGCCAUUUCCAUGUCCACUCUGCCCACAAACAUUUAAAAGUAAUGGUGUGAUGAAACAACAUCUGCAGAGGCAUAUAGGUUUGAAGGCUUACGUUUGUGAAUAUUGUUCUAAAGAGUUUGUGACUAGAGGAGAUCUAAACAAGCACACCCGCUCUCAUACUGGUGCUACUCCAUACAAUUGUAAACAAUGCCAGAAAACAUUCUCGGAUAUCAGUGCACUAUAUCGACAUAUUGCUGAGAAACAUGUCACUGAAAAACCCUUCAUGUGUUCUGUCUGCAAUCAGACAUUUGCUAAGGAAACCAUCUGCCCUUAUUCAUGUAAAGAAGCAUCAUUCAAAUGUAACUGGAAAUACUGAUAGAGAAAACUUAGAAACCUGGGUGACAGAUUCAAAAUCUAUUAAUGAAAAUCUACCAGGAGACAACAAUCAGGUUCACACUGGAUUUAACACAAACACUUUGUCCACAGUUGAAUUGAGUUCUGUUGUUGACAGUGUAACAAUAUUAUAGGAAAUGAAGGAAAGCAACUGUUCUAAAUGUGAUAUUACAAGUUACGUAAACAAAUUAAUUUAAUAUACUUGUUUGACUGUGAACAUUUACUGAGUAGUAACAUGUUUAGAGUCAUAUAAAGAGCUGGUAUUUCCCGAUGUUAAGGUAGAAUUAAUAAGAAUAUCAUUUCUUUAUUGAAAUUCAAUUUCAUAGUUGCACAAGUAUGAAAACUAGUCCUCAAAGAAUAUUAUAGUCUCAUAGCAUUUAUAAGGUAUCAAAUUUGUGAGAGAUUUUGUUAAAAUUCCUUGUAUAUCUUUAUUUAUUUGUUUAUUUCAUUAUCUGUACAUGAUUAUGUCAGGCUGACAAUAUAAUAAAGAUAUCAAGGAGA
rnacentral:misc_RNA from 1 species